AGAACAUGGUCCAACUCAAUCUAGACUUCAAUGUCUCAAGUACACAUAGGAAUCAAUUCCUAUUAUCUUUACAAAUACUCCUGCCAUGAGAAUGCAUAAAGUGUUGAUAUUUGGUUUGCAAAUAUAACUAGGAGAAGAGCUGAUGGAUCAUAAGGUACUCAUAUUUAGAUCUAGUAGAUAUUGCCAAAUUGUUUUUUCACAGUUGUUCCAGUUUAUAUUCUCACCAGCAAUAUAUAAGAAUUCUACUUGUUCUACUUCCUCCCUCAAAAUUGGUGUUUCCCUGAGGGCUCAGCUAAAGUCUUUGUUGUAGUUUCAUCCUUGUUCAAUUUCUCUGUUAGCUCAGUCAUACUUCACUUCUCUAGAGCUGAUAUAAGAUUAGGAAGAAUGGAACAGUAUCUUGUACAGGACACAAAACCAGGUUUUCUCUGGGAAUGAAUGCCAGUAGCAGCAUUAGAGUCUGGAGACUAAUCAUUGGAUCCUCUGAACAGUAGGAGAAUUACACUUAAGACUCCCACAUUAAAUCAGAUUCCUCUCUGUCACCCAGGCUGGAGUGCAGUGGCACAGUCUCUCUUCACUGCAACCUCUGCCUCCUGGGCUCAAGCGAUUCACGCCCGCCUUGGCCUCCCAAAGUGCUGGCAUUACAGGCCUGAGCCACCAUGCACAGCCUGAUAAAAGCAAUCUUAAAAUAAUAAGCACCCUUAGAGGGAAAAGGUUAUUGCAUAAUGAUACCUUACCAGGAAGAUAUUCCAGUGUAAACUUUUACACAUCUAACAAAAUAGCACCAGAUAAUAUUUGACAGACCAUGCAUACAACAAUUACGGCAUAUUCCCUUUUUCAAUUAUAUGUACAUCAUAUACAUACUAGUUUAUAAAGCAGUACUCAACACAUUGCAAGGAAUAGGCCUCGCACAGCACGUGUUCUUUGACUAUGAUGAACAAUUAAGUUAGUAAAAAAAUUAAAUAAAUAAUUGAAAGUCUUCCAAAAAAUACCUUCAGGACACUGAGGGAACCAAAGCUGAAAGAGAAUACCAAAAUCACUAAUAUAAAGAUUUUUUUAAAGUGUAUAAAUUGGGCAAACUUUUUUAGUAACAAGAGGUGAUAACAGAUAUUUUAGGUUUUGUAAGCCACAUAGUCUUUGCUGCAGCUACUCAGCUCUGCUGUUGUAGUGCAAAAGCAGCCAUAGACAAUACAUAAAUAAAUGGAUUUAUGUUCCAAUAAUACAGUAUGUUAUCAGUUAGCAUGGGUCUCUGUUCAGCAUAGUUCAGGCAGGCACACAGGCCAAUAGAGGUUCUGUCUUGAUACAUAUUUCCAAAAGACAUUGUCAUUUUGAGACCAGCCUGGGCAAAAUAGGGAGACGUUAUCUCUACAAAAAAGUAAAAUAGGCAUGGAGGUGCACAACUGUGGCCCUAGCUACUAAGCCAUUGUCCACAGGCUUCUUGUGAGGGUAAACAGACUGAGUAGAGGGUUCUUGGGUCCUUCUCCCCACAUUUAAGGCAAAGGUUGUAGGAGAGGGUGAGACUGCCUCCUUAUGUACAGAAAAAGGCAGUGAGAAGGAGGUCAUAGCACAAAGGCUAGGAAGAUGGGGAAGGAGAUAGGGAAGGCAAAGGAUUUUAUGAAACCAGAAGGACCCUAUUUUAUGAAGUCAGAAGGACCCUGGCAUGUCACAUUCCUUGGCUGAUGAGAGAAUUGAGGAAUUAGAGCUUUGUUGAGAUAGAGAUCACAGUAUGGAAGAAGGCACAAAGACCAUCCAGUCUUCC
rnacentral:lncRNA from 10 species